AUCUUUUUAAUAUAAACAGUAUAUGAAGCUUCCAACUUCAAAAUCUUGGUGAGACUCCAAGAAAAGAUA
rnacentral:tRNA from 1 species